UACGUAGGGUGCGAGCGUUGUCCGGAAUUAUUGGGCGUAAAGGGCUCGUAGGCGGUCUGUCGCGUCGGGAGUGAAAACUCGGGGCUUAACUCCGAGCCUGCUUCUGAUACGGGCAGACUAGAGGUAUGCAGGGGAGAAUGGAAUUCCUGGUGUAGCGGUGAAAUGCGUAGAUAUCGAGAGGAACACCUGCGGCGAAGGCGGGUUGCUGGGCUGACACUGACGCUGAGGCGCGAAAGCCAGGGGAGCGAACGGG
rnacentral:rRNA from 1 species